CACUCUUCGACUGAAAGUUGAAAAGAAAAGGAACAAAAAGCAAGGAAAAAACAAGAAAAUAAAAAAUAUUUCAUCUCUCCUCUUUCCUUUUCUCUUCUUUCUUUCUUUCUUUUCUCGAACUUAGU
rnacentral:ribozyme from 13 species